GCCAUGUCAAAGUAACUCUGAUAAUAAUGUGAAUUGACAUAAAAAGAUUUAAACUAAUUUAAAAGUUUAAACAUUAAUACAGGGCUUACUUAAUCCUUUGUUCGUAAAUAAAGCACAAUGUAAUUGACAUUGAUCAAUUAUGACGGCAAUACAAAUGGGGAGCAGCGUUGUUGGAUAAAAUAUCAUAUGAAUUUAUCAUUUUCCAUCUAAACACUAUUACAGAAUUUAAGACAAGUCAGGUAUUAUAUCAAGUAGG